rnacentral:misc_RNA from 1 species
ACACCUCAACUCUUCAUGGUUUUCCGUGAUGAGCUUGGACUUUGGGGGCUUGCUGGCCUAUGGGUCGGCUCCCCUAAAAUGAAUCAGCUUGCCAGUGUUUGGUGGGCAUCACAGGUGUGAUAACUAUUUACGCUUGUGGUUUUCCACCAGGCAACCUUCAGCAGUGUGGAGGUUCACUGGAGCUCACAGACGUCUCUCCUCAGUGAGGACAGCCCUUUGAAU